rnacentral:rRNA from 1 species
AGUGAACGCUGGCGGCGUGCCUAAUACAUGCAAGUCGAACGGAGAUUCAGUAGCUUGCUAUUUAAUCUUAGUGGCGCACGGGUGAGUAAUAUAUAGCUAACUUGCCCAUUACUAAGGGACAACAGUUGGAAACGACUGCUAAUACCUUAUACUCCGUAUCUAUAUAAGUAGAUACGGGAAAGUUUUUCGGUAAUGGAUAGGGCUAUAUCGUAUCAGCUAGUUGGUAAGGUAAUGGCUUACCAAGGCUAUGACGCGUAACUGGUCUGAGAGGAUGAUCAGUCACACUGGAACUGAGACACGGUCCAGACUCCUACGGGAGGCAGCAGUAGGGAAUAUUGCUCAAUGGGGGAAACCCGGAAGCGGCAACGCCGCGUGGAGGAUGACACUUUUCGGAGCGUAAACUCCUUUUCUUGGGAAAGAAUUAUGACGGUACCCAAGGAAUAAGCACCGGCUAACUCCGUG